GAUUUGGUAUGAUCUUUUGUUAGAUGAUAGAGGUGAUAAGAUCACUAGCAAAAUAAGAUAGAGGUGAAAAUUUGAAUCUUGAUCGGUUAUGAUUAGUAGGAGAUUUUGUUUGAUCAUAAGAAAAUGAGGUAGAGGUUGGUUAUGAUAAGUAUGAGAUUUUGUUCUAAGAUUAUGGAAACAAAAUCUAUAACCGUAGCUUUUGUUAGAUAAUAAGAUGGAAAUAUUUUCCGCCCAAUUUAAAUUCUGAUAAGUUUAUCAAGUAAUAAAAUAAUAACAACCUUAUUAUUAUCUUUAGUAAAAUAUGUUUUAUAAAAUAUUUUCAUGGCAAAGUAAGAUAUUAUAAUAAGGUAAUACUUAUUAGUAAUGUUAAAAGAUGCGGGUUAUUACAGCAUGGGCCGAGUAAGGCAGCAGCGCCCAGCCGUGGGACGCGUGCUGAUUGCUGGACGCCAAGCACAGCAGCAACGUGGUCUCAAGGCCACACGAUGCAAGCCCUUGGCCGGCCCGUUGCUUGCGAACCAAGUAAAGUUGUGUUUUCCUAAAUCUACUAAAAUUAGAUGUUUAGGGUUAAUCCGAAAUACUUAGUGUUUGAUUGUCCCUAGAAUUCUAAUGUUAUUAAUUAACUAGAAUCCUAAUGAAUUUAGUUAAUCGAUUCCUAUUAGGAUUGAAACUCCUUUAUUUCCACCCUAUAAAUAUGUGGUUCAUGAUCACAAUUUAUAAUGCAAAUUCAAUAUACUAUUCUAGCACAUUAAAUUCAAGGGAGAAUUUAAUACUUGUCUAUUACCAUUGUGAGUUUCCCGAGUGCACAUAAAACCUUAGAGAAUAUUCUAGUUGGUUGAAUCUAAGACGGAUCCGAACGUGCUGUGGACUAUCUACGAAGGGCCGACAUUUGGAGUCCUAUACUUGUUCUUGUUCGGUUCGGGAGCAGAUAGGGAAGGCACGCAUCACAUUGUAUGUAUACUAGUUAUGCUAAUUGACUAUGUGGCAAUCAAUUUGGAUUCCUGGCUUUAUGGUAUUUCCGCAUGAAUUAUAUAUUUAUAUUAUUCAUAACCCUACAAAAGAAAUUACAGAAAUUGAACGAAAAUGUAGAAAAUCAACGAGAAGAAGGUUUCUCUCUCCUCAAAAUGGAAGCAGUUGAAGAAGCCAAGUGUUUUCUCUCUCUUCAGUAUAACAUUGAUUUGAAAAUGAAGAAAAGAAGUGGAAAAGAAAGUUUUAUACGCGAGGCGGAAAGAAUCGGAUUUGAACCCGUGAUAGCUGACUUGACCCGCGAGAGACCCGUGGGUAGGGUGGUCUGACGCAAAGUAUAAUUUAAUUCGGUAUUUUUGUUACAAACACAUUCAUGACAAUUAACAACAUUAUACAAUAAUUUUAUGACAUUUACUAGCAUUAGACAAACAUUAAUGAAAUAAUUAACGAAAAUUAAAUAAAUAUAUAAAUAGCAUAAAAACAUUUUCUGAAAUCAAUACAAAACAAAAAUUUACUUGCGUGUUACAGCACAAAAUGUGCGUCGCCAACACGGACACACGGUGGUACCGCGUAUGAUAUGUGUCACCGCCUUGUCAACCAUGCAUAUUAUGUGUGGAACCAUUAUAUCAGCCAAGCAACUUAUGUGCGGUACCACGCAUUAAAAACAAUUAACGCUUACCUCUCUUUUUGGGCGACGGAAGUGCAGCUACGCUAUUCUUCUCUUCUAUUUUGCGGUACGAAUCUCCUCUUCAUCUCUUCUACGAUAUCCGGCGAGGGUGAGGUUUCUUCUCUUUUGCGUUGCGACUCUCCUCUUUAUCUCUCCUGCGAUUUCUGGGAAGGGUGAGUGAUGAUUCUGCUUCUAAGGAGAAGGAGACCAAGAGAGGUUAACAUACUUCAUACUAUAGGUCUUCCAAUAUAUGAAGUGUAGUUAGAGUCCAUAGUUUCAAUUUUAAUUUCUCGUUGUCAAACUUAAUGCGACGUCGUAAAAUAGUUUAAUGUCUUUAACUUUUAAUUGCGUACUUAAAAUCCUUUCCAACUUUGUUUACUAUUGUUACUUGUGAGAGAAAUAUAAUAUAUACUAUGGAGUAUUGUUAAUUAUGUUGUUCUUUAGUGCUAUUUUCGGUUAAUAAGUCACUCGUCUAUACAAAACUAAUACUUUAUAUAUUAGUGUUAUAAAACAUACGUUAGUGUGGAUGCCCAUUAUAUCCUUACCAUAUAUUUAUAUAUGUAUGUGUACAUAUUAUGUCUAUUGAUAUAACCUAACUGACGGUUUUCUCUCUUCCUCUCUCUCCCUUUCUCCCUACUUUCAUAAUACGUUAUCAGCACCAUCGCUAAUCAACGGAAAAUAGCAACGGGGUCAAAUUACAAACGAAAAAUAAAGUGAAUUUUCUACAUUCAUGUGAGUUUACUUUAACUGUUUGAUUAUUCAAAAUUUGACAUUCUUUUUUUGUGAAUCGUGGUAACUUUAUUAUAUUUUAAUUGCAUUAGUCUAUUAGUAUUGGUAUUUGUCGCAACCCUUAUGAUAAUAUAGAUUAAUUACUCCAUAGUAUUUAUUAAUUAUAUGUUGUAAUUGUUAGAUUUGGAAUCUUGGAUUUGCAUGAUAAAUAUACUCUUAUUCUUGGCACUGACAUGUAUUAAUUUUUUAAGUUAAUUUAUCUGAAACUUUAUUCAAUUUUCUCAUCACAAGUACUUUAUAUUAAAUAAAGCACGAUUACUUUGCGGUUAUGGCCUUGGAAUUACUUGCGGUUAUUAUGAUUAUUUGCAGUUAUGGCGUUUGAUCAUGAUGCAAGUAUGUUUUUGAACUUCUUUAAUUGCGUAAAUACACAAACAAACAAACAAAGUAUUUGUUGUUCCGUGUUAUUGUCAUUAUAUUAUAUUUUGAAUUAUAAUUUGUUGUACUGCUAUUCAUAUAUUAUCAUCAUGUUUAAAAUCCGUCGAACUUCCGUUAUGUUUUUCAAUUCCUUUGAUUUUAAAUCCGUGAGUGAUGAUAUUAUCAUGAUGAUAAUAUAUAUCAUAAUUUCCUUUGUUGUCAUCAUUCAAAUACUUUAAUUCAUAUAUUAUCGAACUUCCGUAAACUUUAUUGUCUUCUGUUGUUUUAUUUUCAUAUAAUCAACUUAUAAGGAUAAACUUAUUUAAUCUGUAGACGUUUGUCUCAUUGUAUACCAUUUAUCAAUUACAACUUGGUAUGGAUAUUUUUACUUAUAAUUUUCAAGUCCCAAUUUGUAGUACCAUUAUUUUAUAUAUGGAAUUAUGUUGAACCUUGCAAAGCUUGAGAUUGUGGCCUUUGAUAUUACUUGGAAAAAUCAUUUAUCAUGGGUGUUAGAUGCUGAAAUACACUUAGAUGCAAAAGGGCUCGGUGACACAAUAAAAGAAGAAAAUAAAGAAACAUGUCAAGAUAAAUCUAAGGCUAUGAUAUUUCUUUGCCAUCACCUCCAUGAAGGACUUAAAACUGAGUAUUUGACAGUUAAAGAUCCACAAAUCGUUUGGAGCAACCUAAAGGAAAGGUAUGACCACCAGAAAACUGUAAUAUUUUCAAAGGCUCGUUAUGAUUGGUUGCAUUUGAGAUUACAAGAUUUUAAAUAUGUGAGUGAAUAUAACUCAGCCAUGUUUAAAAUUACUUCUCAAGUGAAAUUAUGUGGAGAGAAAAUUACUGAUGCAGAUAUGUUAGAAAAAACAUACUCCACUUUUCAUGCAAACAAUGUUGUCCUGCAGACAUAGUAUCGAGAGAAAGGUUCUAAGAAAUAUUUUGAAUUGAUAUAUUGUCUUCUUGUGGCUGAGCAAAAUAAUGAGUUGUUGAUGAAAAAUCAUGCCCUACUGGCUCAACUCCAUUCCCUGAAGCGCUUGUGUAGGGGGUUUUUUCGUCGCCUUUUCCCCUUCCUACGGGGCGAUAUUAGAACCUUUGUAUUUUUGUAUUUUGAAGGAGUCGCCACCAAACAUUGUUUAGGGUCUCGUUUGGAAAGACCAAAAAAUGACUCUAUUAGGAUAAGCCAUUGAAUCUUAGAAACGGAUGGGUGAGAUCCGGGCAAGGGAACGAGAUGCUUAUUCCGCGAGCUUUAGAAAUAAUUCAAGUGCGUGACACAACAUUUUCGAAAAUACCCUAGUUUAGACUAUGUGGGUUUGAAUUUAGAACAAAUAUAAUUUCUACUUUGUAUUGUGACCACUUUGCUUUAAAGUUAAUUUAAGGGAACCUAAGUUCGGUUUGUCCAAGAAAUUAUCUUUGUUAAGAGUGGUGUAACCUUGUAUCUUGUUGUAUUUAUCAUGUGAGGUGAUGAAAGCAAUAAACAAGUAAAGCAACAUCACAAUAGAAAAUAAGUGCGGAAUUAGUAAAAUACAUCACCACCUAAAAAUGGACUAGGUGGGAAACCACAUUUCCUAGAAGGACUAGGCAAGUAAAGUUGCAUAAUUGAAAGUGCGGAAUUGAAAUGUGUUAUUGAAAUUGCGUAAUUGAAAGGUGCGGAAUUGAAAGGUGCGGUUCGGAUGAUGAUGCAGCUGCAACAAACGUGCCGGAGGAGGGCAUGGUUUCCCGGAGAGUACCCACCUUCGUUGGCACUGGUUGGAGUCCUUCCGAUCUAGUGUUUCGACCGGAGUUUCAUUUGCAUCAGCGGCCUCGCGCUGGUUUGGCUGAUGAAGAUCCGUUGCGCACUUUUUGGUCCUUGGCGGACCUUCACAAAGUUUUCCCGGCUGUUCGUGCCGAUGAGGAGGCCAUGGAGAUCUGGUUGCAGACGGGCCUAGUCGACUUCUGGCGUGCCAUGGGAGAUACUCAUAGGAGAACGUGCAUCAAACCCCGGCUACAGGCCUUGCUGGAGCGGUGGUGGGAUACCACCAACACCUUUCAUAUGGCAUGGGGAACUUACUCGGCCCUAUUGUUGACUUGGAGGAUGAUGACACCCACGCUUUUGUGACGGUGAUCAUGGCUGCGAUCCGUAGCGUGGACGUAUCUGCGGAGCAGAGGGUUCGGCUCUUCCUCUUGGCUCUAAUGAGUAGAGUGAUGGCCCCGAGCAGGAACAGUCGGGUGCAUAUUGGCUUCCUCACGGCUUUGCAGGACUUGAGGGUCGUUUCGAGCUACAACUGGGGUGGUCUGGCAUAUAGCCACCUUUUGAAUGAGAUGAAGUGGGCCUCCCGGACUUCGCCGGAGAGUGACCCGAGUAUUGCUGCUUUGUGGAGUGUGCUGGAGAUUUGGAUAUACGAGCACUUCCCGACUUUGGUGCCAGCUCGUACUAGAGAUGCGGCUUACCCGUAUGCUGCCUCUUGGAUAGGAGCGGUGCGCAGAAGGGUGCCUCUAGCGGCCUCCCGCAAAGCUUGGCGGGUUUUACCCGUUGAUGAGGUGGUUUGGCGUCCUUUUGCUGAUGCGCCUAUACCUGUCCCGGCUACUCGUGCCCACUUCUUGUCCGGGAGGCGGGUCUUGCUCCCGGGGGUGUAUCGCCAUAUGUGGUACUUGGGGGAGUGAGUGUCCCUUCAGCAUAGUAUGGGGGGCAGGCUUGUCCCUAAGGACCCACUGGAGUCCAUGCUAGCGCCAGACGAAGAACUUGCCCAACUCUAUUUGAAUGCUAGGGGCGAUGUUAUUUGUUUCCCUUGGGAGAAAUUUGUAGAUAGGAGGGGCCAUUGUGAGGAACUUUUGAAGAGGCUUGCUCCACCUGUACGCUUCGUACUGCCGGAGGAGGAGGUCAACCCCGAGGACAUUCCCUAUGCUGACAGGGUUGUCCGCUAUGAGAACUCGGAUGGGGAGCAGGUGGAGGUGACCAUUCCUGUAGCUUCUCCUCCGCACCGGAGGUCGUAUGAUGUUGUACCGGAGCAUUAUGCAGAUGCGCCUUGGGUGAGAGUGCGUCGCUGGAUGCUUUUGAUUGAUUCUUUGAAGAGGCAUUGUGCCAAUCUGACCAAGAAGCUUUCUGGCCGGGACAGAGAGGAGCGCCGUCGAGGUCGCAGAGUUCCGUUGACAGGGAGCCCCAGGUGGAGACUUCGUUGAGGCAGGAUGGACCGAGCUUGGAUUUGGGACAGGGGUCCGGUGCUGGUACUUAUCAGAGGCAUUCUGAUGCUGAUAGGGGAGCUGCCCCUUUUGUAUAUGUUGAUCCCACCAGGCAAUCUUUUGGGGGUGCGAGCAGUUUGAGGCCUUUUGUUCCUCCUCCCGGUUAUUACUUCGGAGGGAGCGGCUCUCAGCCUUGGGGUGCAAAUCCUUGGACUUACUGGCAGGAGAUGGAGAGGAUGCGUCAGGCCCAGAUGUUUGAGGCGCAGCGUCAGUUCACGGCGAUGUCGUAGCCUUAUCAGUACCCUUCCCCUCAGCAGAGAGCUUAUCACUCUCCCAGUACUCUUCGUAUCUCGGAGCAGGAGCCUGGUACCCCUAGGGCAGAGCUGGAUCGGGAUUUGGAGCGCCUUAGGAGCCGAAACAGGAACAAAGAUCCUAUGGUUGACAUUACGGCUGAUGAUGACUCGGACUGACCCUGCAUGGUAGCGAGUUCCAGCUUGCCUUGGUUGAUUUUGUAUGGAUUGUAUUUGUAUGGAUUUGUAUGGUUGAAUUUGAAAUUUGAACUUUUGUAUGGCUUUGAAUUUUGCAAGGUUUGGAAUUGUGGAUCUUGUAUGGCUGAAUAUUGGUUUUUGUACAGUUGGAAAUUGAAUUUUGUAUGCGUUGUGUGUGCCUUUGAAAUU